rnacentral:lncRNA from 1 species
GCCCAGUCUGGAGUGCAGUGGCGCAGUCUCGGUUCACUGCAACCUCUGCCUCUCAGGUUCAAGCCAUUCUCGUGCAUCAGCCUCCUGAGAGCUGGGACUACAGGCGCCUGCCACCACAUCCGGUUAAUUUUUGUAUUUUUAGUAGAGAUGGGGUUUUGCCAUGUUGGCCAGGCUGGUCUUGAACUCCUGAGCUCAGGUGAUCUGCCCACCUCGGCCUCCCAAAGUUCUGGGAUUACAGGCGUGAGCCAUGGUGCCCAGCCUGGCUCCUGUUUUUUGAGACAGGGUUUCACCCUGUUUCCCAGGUUGGAGUAUAGUGGUGCCGUCAUGACUUACUGCAGCCUUGAACUCUUUGGCUCAAGCAGUCCUCCCCACUCAGCCUCUCUAGUAGCUGGGGCUCCAGGCAUGAAUCACCGUGCCAGACUAAGUUUUUUUAAAAUUUUUUGUAGAGAGAAUCUCUCUCUGUUGCACAGGCUAUUCUUGAACUCCUAGGCUCAAGUGAUCCUCCUGCUUCAGCCUCCGAAAGUGCUGGGAUUACAGUUACAACGGUGUUGGAGUCUUGGGCCCAAAGACCAGCUCCUAGAACCUGCAGGGAAGCAACGGCACGUUCCAUCUCUCCCCAUGCCACUGAGGAAUCAUUGGUGGCAGGAUUCUCAGCAGGCAUGGCCGUGGGUGCACAGAACAGAGAAAGGAUGGCCUGGACCACACACAUCACUGUGUGCAGAUGCUUUCCUAGACACUGCAGCCAAGGACACAGAGGCUCAGAGAGUCUCACUGUUUUCCAGGCUGGAGUGCAGUGGCAUGAUUUUGGCUCACUGCAACCUCCGCCUACUGAGUUCGAGUGAUUCUUGUGCCUCAGCCUCCAGAGUAGCCAGGAUUACAGGCACCCGCCACCACGCGUGUUGAAUUUUUUGUAUUUUUAGUAGAGAUGGGGUUUCAUUAUGCUGCCCAUUAUGCUCCUGACCUCAGGUGAUCCACCUGCCUUGGCCUUCCAAAGUGCUGGGAUUACAAGCGUGAGCCACUGUGCCCAG